AUGUUUUUCAAAAGGUAGACAUAUUAACAAUUGCGUCGCAAUAUAUUUAUAACAAUACUAUGUACCAGAUUAUUCAUUGUUUUAAAAUAAAUAGUAAUAAUCACAUUGUAAACACGAGAAGGAAUAACAAAAUUUAAACGUCUCCUUUCUGGGAUAUGGUAUUCGCAUGUAUAAUAAAAUCGCACAAACAAUUUUGGAAUUGUCU
rnacentral:misc_RNA from 1 species